CAUGCAGUCGAACGAUGACUAUCUAGCUUGCUAGAUAUGAUUAGUGGCGGACGGGUGAGUAACAUUUAGGAAUCUGCCUAGUAGUGGGGGAUAGCUCGGGGAAACUCGAAUUAAUACCGCAUACGACCUACGGGUGAAAGGGGGCGCAAGCUCUUGCUAUUAGAUGAGCCUAAAUCAGAUUAGCUAGUUGGUGGGGUAAAGGCCUACCAAGGCGACGAUCUGUAACUGGUCUGAGAGGAUGAUCAGUCACACCGGAACUGAGACACGGUCCGGACUCCUACGGGAGGCAGCAGUGGGGAAUAUUGGACAAUGGGGGCAACCCUGAUCCAGCCAUGCCGCGUGUGUGAAGAAGGCCUUUUGGUUGUAAAGCACUUUAAGCAGGGAGGAGAGGCUAAUGGUUAAUACCCAUUAGAUUAGACGUUACCUGCAGAAUAAGCACCGGCUAACUCUGUGCCAGCAGCCGCGGUAAUACAGAGGGUGCGAGCGUUAAUCGGAAUUACUGGGCGUAAAGCGAGUGUAGGUGGCUCAUUAAGUCACAUGUGAAAUCCCCGGGCUUAACCUGGGAACUGCAUGUGAUACUGGUGGUGCUAGAAUAUGUGAGAGGGAAGUAGAAUUCCAGGUGUAGCGGUGAAAUGCGUAGAGAUCUGGAGGAAUACCGAUGGCGAAGGCAGCUUCCUGGCAUAAUAUUGACACUGAGAUUCGAAAGCGUGGGUAGCAAACAGGAUUAGAUACCCUGGUAGUCCACGCCGUAAACGAUGUCUACUAGCCGUUGGGGUCCUUGAGACUUUAGUGGCGCAGUUAACGCGAUAAGUAGACCGCCUGGGGAGUACGGCCGCAAGGUUAAAACUCAAAUGAAUUGACGGGGGCCCGCACAAGCGGUGGAGCAUGUGGUUUAAUUCGAUGCAACGCGAAGAACCUUACCUGGUCUUGACAUAGUGAGAAUCCUGCAGAGAUGCGGGAGUGCCUUCGGGAAUUCACAUACAGGUGCUGCAUGGCUGUCGUCAGCUCGUGUCGUGAGAUGUUGGGUUAAGUCCCGCAACGAGCGCAACCCUUUUCCUUAUUUGCCAGCGGGUUAAGCCGGGAACUUUAAGGAUACUGCCAGUGACAAACUGGAGGAAGGCGGGGACGACGUCAAGUCAUCAUGGCCCUUACGACCAGGGCUACACACGUGCUACAAUGGUAGGUACAGAGGGUUGCUACACAGCGAUGUGAUGCUAAUCUCAAAAAGCCUAUCGUAGUCCGGAUUGGAGUCUGCAACUCGACUCCAUGAAGUCGGAAUCGCUAGUAAUCGCAGAUCAGAAUGCUGCGGUGAAUACGUUCCCGGGCCUUGUACACACCGCCCGUCACACCAUGGGAGUCUAUUGCACCAGAAGUAGGUAGCCUAAC
rnacentral:rRNA from 1 species